AUUGAACGCUGGCGGCAGGCCUAACACAUGCAAGUCGAGCGGCAGCGGGAAAGUAGCUUGCUACUUUUGCCGGCGAGCGGCGGACGGGUGAGUAAUGCCUGGGAAAUUGCCCAGUCGAGGGGGAUAACAGUUGGAAACGACUGCUAAUACCGCAUACGCCCUACGGGGGAAAGCAGGGGACCUUCGGGCCUUGCGCGAUUGGAUAUGCCCAGGUGGGAUUAGCUAGUUGGGGAGGUAAUGGCUCACCAAGGCGACGAUCCUUAGCUGGUCUGAGAGGAUGAUCAGCCACAAUGGAACUGAGACACGGUCCAGACUCCUACGGGAGGCAGCAGUGGGGAAUAUUGCACAAUGGGGGAAACCCUGAUGCAGCCAUGCCGCGUGUGUGAAGAAGGCCUUCGGGUUGUAAAGCACUUUCAGCGAGGAGGAAAGGUUGAUGCCUAAUACGUAUCAACUGUGACGUUACUCGCAGAAGAAGCACCGGCUAACUCCGUGCCAGCCGCCGCAGUAAAAC
rnacentral:rRNA from 1 species